AUUAAACGCUGGCGGCAUGCCUUACACAUGCAAGUCGAACGGCAGCACGGGGGCAACCCUGGUGGCGAGUGGCGAACGGGUGAGUAAAGCAUCGGAACGUGCCCUGGAGUGGGGGGAUAACGUAGCGAAAGUUACGCUAAUACCGCAUAUUCUGUGAGCAGGAAAGCAGGGGAUCGCAAGACCUUGCGCUCUGGGAGCGGCCGAUGUCGGAUUAGCUAGUUGGUGGGUAAAGGCCUACCAAGGCGACGAUCCGUAGCGGGUCUGAGAGGAUGAUCCGCCACACUGGGACUGAGACACGGCCCAGACUCCUACGGGAGGCAGCAGUGGGGAAUUUUGGACAAUGGGCGAAAGCCUGAUCCAGCCAUGCCGCGUGAGUGAAGAAGGCCUCGGUUGUAAGAC
rnacentral:rRNA from 1 species